rnacentral:tRNA from 1 species
UCCCCGAUAGCUCAGUUGGUAGAGCGACGGACUGUUAAUCCGCAGGUCCCAGGUUCGAGCCCUGGUCGAGGAGCCA